UUUCUUUUGCUGGCGACCGGCGCACGGGUGAGUAACACGUAUCCAACCUGCCCUUUACUCGGGGAUAGCCUUUCGAAAGAAAGAUUAAUACCCGAUAGCAUAAUGAUUCCGCAUGGUUUCAUUAUUAAAGGAUUCCGGUAAAGGAUGGGGAUGCGUUCCAUUAGGUUGUUGGUGAGGUAACGGCUCACCAAGCCUUCGAUGGAUAGGGGUUCUGAGAGGAAGGUCCCCCACAUUGGAACUGAGACACGGCCCAA
rnacentral:rRNA from 1 species